CCAUGUCAUCCGCCAUGUUACUAACCAGUUGCACUGUGUGGGGACUGGGCACCAGUUGUAAUAUUGCCCAGUUCGAAGGAUUCCUGCACGCGUUUUGCUGUCCCGCUACUGGGUACGGGGACACACUCCCGUGUCACCCAUAGGUAUUACAGAGUGUCUGCUCCAACUACCACGGAAUAAACAGAUAUAGCAUCACAAGCCGUAGCCUGUAGUUUAUGUAAUAAACAGAUAUAAC